CCUACGGGAGGCAGCAGUGAGGAAUAUUGGUCAAUGGGCGAGAGCCUGAACCAGCCAAGCCGCGUGAAGGAUGAAGGAUCUAUGGUUUGUAAACUUCUUUUAUAUGGGAGUAAAGUGAGUAUCGUGUUCCUUUUUGUAUGUACCAUAUGAAUAAGCAUCGGCUAACUCCGUGCCAGCAGCCGCGGUAAUACGGAGGAUGCGAGCGUUAUCCGGAUUGAUUGGGGUUAAAGGGUGCGUAGGGGGUUAAUUAAGUCAGCGGUGAAAGUUUGUGGCUCAACCAUAGAACUGCCGUUGAAACUGGUUGACUUGAGUGUGUGUGAGGUAAGUGGAAUGCGAGGUGUAGGAGUGAAAUGCAUAGAUAUCACGCAGAACACCGAUUGCGAAGGCAGCUUACUGGCCUAUAACUGACGCUGAGGCACGAAAGCGUGGGGAUCAAACAGGAUUAGAUACCCGUGUAGUC
rnacentral:rRNA from 1 species